rnacentral:rRNA from 1 species
UACGUAGGGGCUAGCGUUAUCCGGAAUUACUGGGCGUAAAGGGUGCGUAGGUGGUUUCUUAAGUCAGAGGUGAAAGGCUACGGCUCAACCGUAGUAAGCCUUUGAAACUGGGAAACUUGAGUGCAGGAGAGGAGAGUGGAAUUCCUAGUGUAGCGGUGAAAUGCGUAGAUAUUAGGAGGAACACCAGUUGCGAAGGCGGCUCUCUGGACUGUAGCUGACACUGAGGCACGAAAGCGUGGGGAGCAAACAGGAUUAGAUACCCGUGUAGUCCCUGAG